GACGAACGCUGGCGGCGUGCUUAACACAUGCAAGUCGAACGGAAAGGCCCUGCUUUUGUGGGGUGCUCGAGUGGCGAACGGGUGAGUAACACGUGAGUAACCUGCCCUUGACUUUGGGAUAACUUCAGGAAACUGGGGCUAAUACCGGAUAUGAGCUCCUGCUGCAUGGUGGGGGUUGGAAAGUGUCGGCGGUUGGGGAUGGACUCGCGGCUUAUCAGCUUGUUGGUGGAGUAGUUGCUUACCAAGGGUUUGACGGGUAGCCGGCCUGAGAGGGUGACCGGCCACAUUGGGACUGAGAUACGGCCCAGACUCCUACGGGAGGCAGCAGUGGGGAAUAUUGCACAAUGGGCGGAAGCCUGAUGCAGCAACGCCGCGUGCGGGAUGACGGCCUUCGGGUUGUAAACCGCUUUCGCCGGUGACGAAGCGUGAGUGACGGUAAUGGGUAAAGAAGCACCGGCUAACUACGUG
rnacentral:rRNA from 1 species